rnacentral:rRNA from 1 species
GAUGAAGGGCGUGCUAAUCUGCGAUAAGCGCCGGUAAGGUGAUAUGAACCGCAAUAACCGGCGAUACCCGAAUGGGGAAACCCAGUGUGACUCGUCACACUAUCAUGCAGUGAAUACAUAGCUGUAUGAGGCGAACCGGGGGAACUGAAACAUCUAAGUACCCCGAGGAAAAGAAAUCAACCGAGAUUCCCCCAGUAGCGGCGAGCGAACGGGGAGGAGCCCAGAACCAUCAUCAGCUUGUGCAUCAGUGGAAGCGUCUGGAAAGUCGCAGGGUACAGGGUGAUACUCCCGUACACAAAGGUGCACAGGCUGUGAGUUCGAUGAGUAAGGCGGGACACGUGGUAUCCUGUCUGAAUAUGGGGGGACCAUCCUCCAAGGCUAAAUACUCCUGACUGACCGAUAGUGAACCAGUACCGUGAGGGAAAGGCGAAAAGAACCCCGGCGAGGGGAGUGAAACAGAACCUGAAACCGUGUACGUACAAGCAGUGGGAGCACCUUCGUGGUGUGACUGCGUACCUUUUGUAUAAUGGGUCAGCGACUUAUAUUCUGUAGCAAGGUUAACCGCAUAGGGGAGCCGCAGGGAAACCGAGUCUUAACUGGGCGUUAAGUUGCAGGGUAUAGACC